GCGGAAGUAGUGUAGUCUGGCAUCACAGGAGCUUCCCAAGCUUCGGAAAAAGCUCCUAACCCGGGUUCAAAUCCCGGCUUCCGCA
rnacentral:tRNA from 2 species